UACGUAGGGGGCAAGCGUUGUCCGGAUUUAUUGGGCGUAAAGAGCGUGUAGGCGGUUUGGUAGGUCCGCUGUGAAAACUCGAGCUCAACCUCGAGACGCCGGUGGAAACCAUCAGACUAGAGUCCGGAAGAGGAGAGUGGAAUUCCUGGUGUAGCGGUGAAAUGCGCAGAUAUCAGGAGGAACACCGAUGGCGAAGGCAGGUCUCUGGGCCGCAACUGACGCUGAGGAGCGAAAGCAUGGGGAGCGAACAGG
rnacentral:rRNA from 1 species